UACGAAGGGGCUAGCGUUGUUCGGAAUUACUGGGCGUAAAGCGUGACGCAGGCGGCCAUCCAAGUCAGUGGUGAAAGCCCGGAGCUCAACUCCGGAAUUGCCAUUGAAACUGUUUGGCUCGAGUACGAGAGAGGUGAGUGGAAUUCCCGAGUGAUAGAGGUGAAAUUCGGUAGAUAUUGGAAGAACACCGGUGGCGAAGGCGGCGAUCCUG
rnacentral:rRNA from 1 species